rnacentral:rRNA from 1 species
AUUGAACGCUGGCGGCAGGCCUAACACAUGCAAGUCGAAUGGUAACAGGAAACAGCUUGCUGUUUCGCUGACGAGUGGCGGACGGGUGAGUAAUGUCUGGGAAACUGCCUGAUGGAGGGGGAUAACUACUGGAAACGGUAGCUAAUACCGCAUAACGUCGCAAGACCAAAGAGGGGGACCUUCGGGCCUCUUGCCAUCAGAUGUGCCCAGAUGGGAUUAGCUAGUAGGUGGGGUAACGGCUCACCUAGGCGACGAUCCCUAGCUGGUCUGAGAGGAUGACCAGCCACACUGGAACUGAGACACGGUCCAGACUCCUGCGGGAGGCAGCAGUGGGGAAUAUUGCACAAUGGGCGCAAGCCUGAUGCAGCCAUGCCGCGUGUAUGAAGAAGGCCUUCGGGUUGUAAAGUACUUUCAGCGGGGAGGAAGGGAGUAAAGUUAAUACCUUUGCUCAUUGACGUUACCCGCAGAAGAAGCACCGGCUAACUCCGUG